rnacentral:tRNA from 1 species
CAGAACAUGACUUAAAAGUUAUUUGCUACACCAAAUUGACGUCCGUUAACCCGAACUGUUCUAAG